AUGACACACAUAGUCAGAGAAGCCGGGAUGGGAUGCAGUGGGCUCUGUUAUGGAGACGUGGUAGCAACCGAGGAGCUCCGUGGGUGUUACAUACAUUUGAAGAAGGAUGCAGGAUUGGUACCUACGGAUGAACAAGGAGGCAGGUUUAGCAAUCUGGGUAGGAGAAGUCUUUGUAUGGGGAAGUCUUCAUGUAAUAAAUAAGCAUCCAGGCGGAGAAAGCUGUGGUGGACACUUGCUGCACACACGGAGAACAUCCACACCUGGACCAGAGGAAGGCUGUGCCAUCCCUCUGGGGUUCGCCCCAGGCAGAAGGUUUGUCAUUUUGUUCUGGGUCUGAGGGUGCGGUCCUUGGUAUGGCUGUGCUAGUGUCAAACAACACACGAUGGGUGGGCGGCCUGGGCUACCCAGCUUACAUGUAAGCAUGAGUUUACUAAUGAUUGUUGAGAAUGUAAAAUUGGUUCGUGAAUAUGCACUGCUGGGAAACUAUGACUCUGCAAUGGUCUACUAUCAGGGAGUUCUUGACCAAAUGAACAAGUACCUGCCCUCAGUCAAAGAUACACACCUCCGUCAGAAAUGGCAACAGGUUUGGCAGGAAAUAAAUGUGGAAGCUAAGCAUGAUAAGGACAUCAUGGAAACACUUGAGAGCUUUAAACUGAGCAGCGCUUCUUGGCAAGCUGCACAGCACGAAUCUCCAGCUUCUGAAGGAGAAGUCUGGUCCUUGCCUGUACCUGUUGAGAGAAGACCCUCACCAGGACCUAGGAAGCGCCAGGUGUCUCAGCACAAUGACCCCAGGCCACACAGUAGCCGGCCAGGCACCGUCAUCAGAGCUCAUCGGCCGUCUUCACAGAAUCUUCACAAUGACAGAGGGAAAGCUGUUCGUAGUCGUGAAAAGAAAGAACAGAAUAAGGGAAGAGAGGAAAAGAGCAAAUCACCUGCUGCAGUCACAGAACCAGAGGCAAAGAAGUUUGAUGGCACGGGGUACGACAAGGACUUAGUAGAAGCUCUGGAAAGAGAUAUAAUUUCUCAGAAUCCCAACGUUCGGUGGUGUGAUAUUGCUGAUUUAGUAGAAGCCAAAAAGCUGCUUCAGGAAGCCGUGGUGUUACCAAUGUGGACACCAGAAUCCUUUAAGGGCACUAGGAGACCAUGGAAAGGUGUGCUGAUGGUCGGCCCACCUGGCACUGGAAAGACCCUUCUUGCUAAAGCAGUUGCCACAGAAUGCAAGACAACAUUCUUCCAUGUCUCUUCAUCAACUCUGACUUCCAAAUACAGAGGAGAGUCUGAGAAGCUUGUCCAUCUCCUCUUUGAAAUGGCUCGGUUUUACUCCCCAGCUACCAUAUUUAUUGAUGAGAUAGAUUCCAUCUGCAGCUGUCGAGGAACGUCUGAGGAGCAUGAGGCAAGCCGAAGGAUGAAAGCUGAGCUGCUGGUCCAGAGGGAUGGUGUUGGAGGUGCCUCAGAAAAUGAUGAUCCUUCCAAAAUGGUUAUGGUUCUGGCAGCUACUAAUUUCCCAUGGGACACAGAUGAGGCUUUAAGACGUCGUCUGGAGAAAAGAAUCUAUAUUCCGUUACCAUCCGCAAAAGGUAGGGAAGAACUGUUAAGAAUAAGUCUAUGGGAGCUGGAAUUGGCUGAUAAUGUUAACCUUGCAAGCAUAGCAGAAAACAUGGAAGGCUACUCGGGUGCAGACAUCACCAAUGUAUGCAGGGACGCAUCCUUGAUGGAAGAACAGUAUUACAUCACCUUCUCAUGA